AACAUUUAUGGUACAUUUGCUUCCCACAGAAGCCGAAAACAUACUCCUCACUCAUUGCAUGACUUCAAGGCAGACAUAAUAAAAAGGUGUAUAGAAGAGGUUGUUAAAGAGUUAAAUUUUAUAAUCUCGAUCAGCAUCUGGACCCAUCAUCAAAGUUGUUGCAGAUAAAAUGGGCAAGAAAUAAGGGAUAUCUUGGAGCGCUGGCCUGCAUUAUCAGAUGCAACACAGAUAAAUGAAGAACUCAAGAGGAUAACCACUGUAGGUCUUGAAUCCACAUUUAUAGCCAAACUUGACAAAUGCACCGCAAAACUAAUGGACCUGGCCUCAUCAAGGGGAGGAGCUAAAGGGGAAAGAAUCAGAAGGAUUAAGGAUAUGCUUCUUGAGAACAAUGCAGUUGAAGUAUGGAGAGAAGUAGCCAUUCACUGUCUUGUUGUCUAACUUGGAGAGAAAGAAGAGGAUCUUUUUAAGGAGUUUGCUAAUACACAAGAAUCAUUGGUGAUCUGUCAACUAUGGAAUUAAACCACAAGACGGGAACCAUCAUUGUUGAGGGAAUCAGAAUCCUGAUUGGAAUGGAUAUCUCAAGGUGUUGUGCUCUGCUGAUAAUAUGUGCUCUGAAUCUGAGCUACCCCAAGGAGCUUAAAUAUACUUGUUAAGUGUUUCAUAAGCUGUUUCUUGAACUUGAUGGACUGAAGCCCAGUGCAAAAGUAAUGCCUCUCAAGAACAGCAUUUUCUGAAGCCUCUACUUAUUUCAAAGUACAUUUAGCUCUUUAUGUUGCAACUAUAUUGUUUUGUAUUUUGAAGUCCACAUGCUGAUCUUUUUAUUUCAUACUGU
rnacentral:lncRNA from 1 species